rnacentral:rRNA from 1 species
GUGCACGCUGGCGGUCGGCCUCACCCAUGCAAGUCGGACGGCAGCACAGUAAGAGCUUGCUCUUACGGGUGGCGAGUGGCGGACGGGUGAGGAAUACAUCGGAAUCUACUUUUUCGUGGGGGAUAACGUAGGGAAACUUACGCUAAUACCGCAUACGACCUACGGGUGAAAGCAGGGGAUCUUCGGACCUUGCGCGAUUGAAUGAGCCGAUGUCGGAUUAGCUAGUUGGCGGGGUAAAGGCCCACCAAGGUGACGAUCCGUAGCUGGUCUGAGAGGAUGAUCAGCCACACUGGAACUGAGACACGGUCCAGACUCCUACGGGAGGCAGCAGUGGGGAAUAUUGGACAAUGGGCGCAAGCCUGAUCCAGCCAUACCGCGUGGGUGAAGAAGGCCUUCGGGUUGUAAAGCCCUUUUGUUGGGAAAGAAAAGCAGCAGGUUAAUACCCCGCUGUUCUGACGGUACCCAAAGAAUAAGCACCGGCUAACUUCGUG